rnacentral:snRNA from 1 species
ACAUGUUGCAACUCUUUUAGAAUUUGUCUAGCUGGUUUUCAGGUUUUUACCAGGAAACUCAU